AACGCACAUUGCGCCCCUUGGUAUUCCAUGGGGCAUGCCUGUUCGAGCGUCAUUUACACCCUCAAGCCCUGCUUGGUGUUGGGCGUCUGUCCCGCCGUUUCGGUGCGGACUCGCCCCAAAGAUAUUGGCAGCAGCCUGUCCCCAGCUUCUCGCGCAGCAGUUCGCGCUUCUUGAGGCAAAAGGGGGGGCCAGCAUCCAUGAAGUCCACUUCUUGACUUGACCUCGGAUCAGGUAGGGAUACCCGCUGAACUUAA
rnacentral:misc_RNA from 1 species